rnacentral:lncRNA from 1 species
GGCAAGAGGACUUGUGAAUGUCUUUAAAGUGAUGAACAAAUGAUUGUUGUUUCGCAUUUGGGAGUGCAUGUAUGUAAAAUUCGUGUGCAAAGUUUUGAUUUGAUGUCAUUGAAGCUUUGUGUUACCCCAUCGCUCGUGCACUCAUCAUCACUCUCCUUCCUCUUUUGCAACUUGGGCUUGGCAAAACUGGAGAGACAUGCGCGGAGGCAUUCAUCAUUUCACUAGAUUUUGUGAAAAUGGAUGAUGACAUGUGAGAAUCCCCCUUUUCUGGUUGGUAAAAUCUAAUGCGACUCGCCUUUUUACUCG